CUGCCCAAUGAUUUAAUUAAAUGGCUGCAGAAUUUUAACUGUACAAAGGUAGCAUAAUAAUUUGUUUUUUAAUUAAAAACUAGAAUGAAUGAUUAAAUAAAAUAUAAACUAUUUUAAUUAAAUAAUUAUUUAAAUUUUUAUUUAAGUAAAAAAACUUAAAUAAUUUUAAAAGACGACAAGACCCUAUAGAAUUUAAUUUAUUUAUUUUAUUAAAAUUUAAUUUAUUUAUAUAAUAAAAUUAAAAAAAUUUAAUUGGGGUAAUUAUAAAAUUUUAUAAAUUUUUAUAAAAAAAUACAAUCAUUAUUGAAAUAUAUAUCUUAAUUAUAAAUUAUUAAAAUUAAUUACCUUAGGGAUAACAGCAUAAUUUUUUUUUAAAGAUCAUAUUAAUAAAAAAGAUUAUGACCUCGAUGUUGAAUUAAGAUAAAAUUUAAAUGAAAAAAUUUAAAAAAUUAAGUCUGUUCGACU
rnacentral:rRNA from 1 species